GCUGCAGGUUGCAAGGAUGGCUCCAGCAGCCUUUGAGGCAGUGCAGGGAAAGGUAUCCUCGGCUCCCAGACCAGCCUGGGCUCCACCAUAAUUGCAGGGCUGCGUUCAGUUGCCUCCAAGUCCCCCUGGGCCGGUGUCUCUCCUCCCUGCGCUUGGCCGUAGGGCAGCACCAGCUCCCACAGGAGCAGGCCUCUCGGCUGCGUGUGCCCAGCCUGCGCCCGCGCGGCCCCACUCUUGGGGCUCCCCUCACCCCACACUAUGUGCAAAGACACCCAGGAGAAAGGGGGUGCGUUGCUGCUACAGCUUCGCCUUGGCAGUGGUGUGGCUGAAAUGCCGCUGCUCCGGGGAAGCGGGCAGCCCCGGGAGCCAGCCAGCUCCCCGCUCCAGCCGCAGGCUCCCCGCAGCCCCUCGUUCCCACUGAUGUGCUGGCGUUAGGUAGCUUGUUUUAUGGUUUAAUGAGGGCCUUUGCACAGAGGCGCUGAGGUGGUGCUGGCUUUAAUAUGGGCUUUAUAUCAGGAGCCUUUGCUCCAGGCCCUGGGUUUCCAGGUGGGGGGACCUGCGCUGACUCUUCGCUCCUGCUUGUGUGUUUUACGCCGGGCUGGGGGGUCGCCAGCAAGGGCUGGAGCCCUCGGCGAUUCGCAGCCCGCGCGUGCUUGGUGCAGGAGUUCAGCUGUGAAGCCCAGUGAGAUCAUUUGAAUAAUUUAAUACCGGGCUGUGACCAAGCCCGGCGAAAGGGUAAAGGAAACAAAGAGGCCCCCAGCCCAGAGCAACAAUAGCUCUCGAAACGACAAGCCGAGGCAUGUCCGUGCUGCCGCAGGCAGCGAGCAGCCUGGGCAAAUAGGCCAGUUGCAUUCCUCACGUCUGCUGCUUUGUUUCCCCACAGAAGCUCCCGGUGCGAGCUGCAGGUCUCAGGGUUUCUCCCUUUAUCCUUGUUUUCUUCCCAAGUCCUGUGCACCGCAGAGCUGGAAGAGAUGGGCUCAGCCUCCCGGGGCCUGUCCGUGCCUCCCUGGCUCCCUGUUAACCGAGGCCUGGCCAGAACAGAGCAGGAAAAUGCAAGGCGGAGGGAUGAAGCAGUGAUGCAAGGAAGACGCAGACGAGUGGAAUAUGGCAGAAAGCCUUCCAGAGCCCAGAAGGAUUCGAGGCCUGACCUGUCGCUGUGGACAGAGGAUGUAUAUCACCUUUACAGAGGCAAUUGCCCUGCUGGGGGUUGUGUUGCCUUUGUGUGAGCCGAGCUGCCGGCUGUAAUGUUGCGUGUGGGGAGGGCGUUCAUUAGGGAGAUGGGAAAACGAAGGGAUCUUUGUUUGCAGGCUCUGUGGAAGGGUCUGACACCUCCGAGCAGCCCUGCCGGUACAGCCAGCACCUCCUGAUGGCUUUGACAGCCCCUAGCUAAUUAGCAGAGGUGCUCUUCUGUGGGGUUAGGAACAGAGAAAUUAUAAACAUCAAAGAGGUGCAGUAAAUGGUGAUAAAACCCU